rnacentral:rRNA from 1 species
GUUCAGGGAGGUAGUGACAAUAAAUACCUUACAGAGGUCUCGUUAACCGAGAUCUCUCAAACGGAAUGAGUACAACGUGAAUCCUUUAACGAGGAUCGACUGGAGGGCAAGCCUGGUGCCAGCAGCCGCGGUAAUUCCAGCUCCAGUAGCGUAUAUUAAAGCUGUUGCGGUUAAAAAGCUCGUAGUUGGAUAUCAGUGCGUGUCCGGUCCGGUAUGCCUGGCGGCGUCGCUCGCGCGGCACUGCUGGGCUCCCAAAUAUCGGCUGGCCGCAUUCAAUCGUGCCGGAUCCGUCGACGGGCCGUUCUUCGGAGGGGCCUGUUGGCGACCGGCGACGUUACCUUGAACAAAUUAGAGUGCUCAAAGCAGGCUCUGAAUGCCUGUAUACAUAUUCAUGGAAUUGGAGAAUACGUCCCUGGCUCGAUUUGGUUGGUUUUGAGAGUCGAAGGGAAAUGAUUAAUAGGGACUGACGGAGGCAUUCGUAUUGCGACGCGAGGGGUGAAAUCCUGUGACCGUCGCACGACGAACUACUGCGAAAGCAUUUGCCGAGAAUGUUUUCAUUAGUCAAGAACGAAAGUUAGAGGUUCGAAGGCGAUCAGAUACCGCCCUAGUUCUAACCGUAAACGAUGUCGACCAGCAAUCCGCAACGGUCACUACACGGACUGUGCGGGCAGCUUCCCCGGGGAAACCAGAGUUUUUGGACUCCGGGGGAAGUAUGGUUGCAAAGCUGAAACUUAAAGGAAUUGACGGAAGGGCACCACCAGGAGUGGAGCUUGCGGCUUAAUUUGACUCAACACGGGACAACUCACCAGGCCCGGACACCGUAAGGAUUGACAGACUGAUAGCUCUCUCUUGAUUCAGUGGGUGGUGGUGCAUGGCCGUUCUUAGUUGGUGGAGUGAUUUGUCUGGUUUAUUCCGAUAACGAACGAGACUCUGGCCUAUUAAACUUGACACUGUCAGUCUCUUGUGACUGCGGUGCGCUUCUUA